rnacentral:lncRNA from 1 species
UUGUUGAAUAAUCUCUCAACCAUGUGAAAAGGUGCAGCCACAAUUUUUUGUUCAAAUUGGUAGGUCACCAACCACAAUCUUGUUCAAAUUGAUAAGUCACCAACCACAUCAUUUGUUCAAAUUGGUAGGUCACCAACCCCACUAACCAUGUCUUUUUUCACCACAUUCUUUGCCUAUAUAAAGGCCAUUCAGGAGCAAGCUAAAAUACACCAACACAAAAACAAUUCUUUUGUGUGUUAUAUCCGAGAGAGAAUUUUGAGAGUUACUCACAAUUUGGUGAGUGGUAGUUAGUGUCCAAAAAUUACUUUUGUGUUAUAUCCGAGAGAGAAUUUUGAGAGUUACUCACAAUAUGGUGAGUGGUAGUUAGUGUUCAAAAAUUAGAGUGUAUAUUGUACAAGAGUGUUUGUGAGGUUUCUUUGGGUACAAUAUUUGUCCCAAAGGGUGUUCUUGUAUCGUCUCUAUUUUUAGUGUUUCUCAAGUUGGUCACUUGAGAUUUUGGUGUACCAUUAUUUUUUAUAGUGGAUAUUUCUCGGAAUUUGGCCCGUGGUUUUUCCCUCUAAAUUUGGGAGGGUUUUCCACGUAAACUUUGGUGUUCCGAUUGCUUGUGUUAUUUUUCAUAUUGUUCAACG